AGAUUGAACGCUGGCGGCAGGCCUAACACAUGCAAGUCGAGCGGUAGAGAGGUGCUUGCAUCUCUUGAGAGCGGCGGACGGGUGAGUAAUGCCUAGGAAUCUGCCUAGUGGUGGGGGAUAACGUUCGGAAACGGACGCUAAUACCGCAUACGUCCUACGGGAGAAAGCGGGGGACCUUCGGGCCUCGCGCCAUUAGAUGAGCCUAGGUCGAUUAGCUAGUUGGU
rnacentral:rRNA from 1 species